rnacentral:sRNA from 1 species
UACUGUAAUAACCCAGUGCAGAUGGUCUACUCAACUUGCUGGGGAAUCUGGGAUAGGCUCGGGACCUUGGAUAAGGAUACUUGUUCAUAGGUCGACCGCAUCGAAAUAGUGAUAUUAGAUGAAGGGUGCAAUUCCUGAAAGUUACAGGUGGCAUGUAUCGUUGUGCAAUAUAGUCCAGAAUACAUAUCGGUGGAAUAAUAGAGGGUUGUAUGAAUAAUACGCCUGAAUCUUAGUGAGGUAUGCGAUGGCUUCGUGUAUAAACCUAAGAAGGGCCAUAAUCCACUUUGUCGUGAAUCGGGAAAUCCGUGUAUAAGAUAUGGAAUGAGAUUCUCCAAGUAGCCUAAAGACAAACUCCUAAUCUUGGUUAAAUAUAAGAUCAGAAGAAUAAGGACGCUGAAGAGCGAGGUGAAAGGUGUGGGUAAUCACUCCCACUAGAGCUGAUGUGACAUACGUCUAGGGAAGAGAUGUAAAGAAGUAGCUAGCUUUACACAGCCUCUUUUCUCUCUAUCGGAUAACAAUAUUUAUUGCAAUGAUACAUAGGGUGAAUAAAAGCCCAUUACAGUA